rnacentral:rRNA from 1 species
CCUACGGGAGGCAGCAGUGGGGAAUAUUGCGCAAUGGGCGAAAGCCUGACGCAGCGACGCCGCGUGAGGGAUGAAGGUCUUCGGAUCGUAAACCUCUGUCAGCAGGGAAGAACGGUCACUGUGCUAAUCAGCAGUGAAUUGACGGUACCUGCAAAGGAAGCACCGGCUAACUCCGUGCCAGCAGCCGCGGUAAUCCGGAGGGUGCGAGCGUUUAUCGGAAUUACUGGGCGUAAAGCGCUCGUAGGCGGUAUGGCAAGUCAAGGGUGAAAUCCCCGCGCUCAACGUGGGAACUGCCUUUGAAACUGGCAAACUGGAGUGUGGGAGAGGAUAGUGGAAUUCCAGGUGUAGGAGUGAAAGCCGUAGAGAUCUGGAGGAACAUCAGUGGCGAAGGCGACUAUCUGGCACAUAACUGACGCUGAGGAGCGAAAGCGUGGGUAGCAAACAGGAUUAGAUACCCUUGUAGUC